CAACGAGAUGGACUCUGGUGUGGCAAAGUGAAAUGGCUAAGCGGUGAAAUUUAGAGGGGAUAGCUAAGUACAAUUGCAACUGACAUAGUUGUGGUUGAUAUGUCCUACUGUAUUGGAACUUAUAAGGAGAACUAGAAGUGACAGUCGUCCGUGUUC